rnacentral:rRNA from 1 species
UACAGAGGGGGCGAGCGUUGUUCGGAAUUACUGGGCGUAAAGGGCGCGUAGGCGGCCUUCUAAGUCGAACGUGAAAUCCCCGGGCUCAACCCGGGAACUGCGUCCGAUACUGGGAGGCUUGAAUCCGGGAGAGGGAUGUGGAAUUCCAGGUGUAGCGGUGAAAUGCGUAGAUAUCGGGAGGAACACCUGUGGCGAAAGCGGCGCACUGGACCACAUCUGACGCUGAGGCGCGAAAGCGUGGGGAGCAAACAGG